CGGUAAAUGAACGCGUGAUAAAACGUCGUGAUGGCAUUGAUCGUAGAUUUGACGGGUAACAACGUCGACACAUGACAACACGUGCUAAUAGGAAUCCAUGCCUAUGUCAUUAUCGAAUACGAAUUAGCUAGCGGCGCGUGUCAUAGAACAUGCGAAUGGUUCGAUGUCAAAGAGGCAUGGAGAAUUUGUCGAUGACACUAUAGACUAUGGACGAGGAUCUAUUCUGUUGGCGUGUUGGUGGUAUUGGCAGAUGAUUGAGUUACUGUUUAGAAUUAAUUGAAUUACUACGCCGACAAUGCACAAUGCGUGUUGAGAUUUGCUUUGUUGGGGCAAGAUGAGGAGUUUCGGGAAAAUGUUAAACACAACGCAGCUGAAAUUGGACAUGUGAAGGCUCGUCAAGUUGGCAGUCGUGAUAGGUGGUCUCAGGAGGACCCGAUGAAACUCUGAACAGACAGCUUCAACUCGUGGCAAACAUGCUUUUGGGAUUUAGCAUGGUGUUUACCUUCUGCAUAAAUACUGAUAAUGUUUCCUAACUUUCUUGGAGGGUUGAACUUCUACCCUUGAAGGCACCUUUUAUCUGUAUGCAGCCGAGGGAGCUGUGGUCUAAAGUUGAUAUUCUACAGAAUAACGUGAAUGAAGUUUAACGUGGACCGUUUGAUAUUCAUGAGACUCUGCCAUUUCUGGCUAGUUUUUGGAGGAGAAAUAUGGAGGACACACCUUAUGUGGGAAAAUUAGAGAAUUAGUGGGACGAUGGAAAAGUUCUAUGGGCGGCGUGGAUUCGAUGCUCGUCCGCAUUCACGGUGUUAAAAUUUCGAGCCACUUCGACUACAGAAUAAUAAAUGGGAAGAUUGUCGCAGGAGAGCAGAGAGAAUCACUCCUUUACCCUUUGUGUUGUUCUUGGCGAAUUUGUGACGACAAUGAAGAAGAUGGACAAAACCACCAAGAAGGAUAUCGCCCGAUAUUCCAAAAUCUAAGAAAUCCAGCCGUUAUCAACUGAGUACCUGUACUGAAAGGG